CCGUACAGCAACUUCUGCUUCAGUUUCAGCAGUUACUCUGAUAGGAAAACAUGGCAUGAUGCGCGCGCAGAUUGUGCUUCCCAGAAUGCAGAUCUGCUCUCUUAUUCCUCAGAAUGUGAAAUGCAAUGGCUAACUCAAAAAAUGCUGAAGUAUGAAAAGAGAGAUUCUCGUCUAAACAAGUGGUGGUCUAGCUUUGUAAAUAUCAGAGGGGGUUGGAAAUGGGCAGAGAAAAAUGGCGACAGAUCGCUCGCGAUCUGGAAAGAGGGGCCUCGCUCUAAACAUCGCUGUGGACUGGUGAGUGGGUCGUGGGGCGGGCGGCUAGCAAUAGGCAAUUGUGCGGGGAAAUUGCCUUAUAUUUGUAAGGCUA